rnacentral:misc_RNA from 1 species
GGGAAGCCGUGAAUAGUUGGCUUUUAUACCAACUGUUACGAAGCAAGAUUCUGAAUUGUCCCAAAGCACCAAAACUGAAGAAGGAUGCAGAAAGGAAGAAGGAAGAAGAUUAGUACGGAAGAACAGAAGAAAGAAGCUUCGAGAAGAAGAGAAACAGAAAAAGAGAGGAAGAGAAGAGAGAUAUGAAAGGAAAUUAGGGAGAGAAAGAGUUCUGUUAUUAUUCAAUAGGUCAAUCCCCUGCACAAUUACAAUAUGUUCAACAUUUAUAUCCUUUCUCUCCAAUUCUCUUUCUUUAUUUUCAGUUACAGCCAGCACUAACUGACUAACAGAUCACAGCUAACUUCCCUCAGCUAACUAAUUAACUCCAUAACUUCAGCUCAACUACCACAUUCACAACACAAUACUCUGACAAACACAGGUCAGAAAGGGAAUUUUCAGUUGGGGAUUAGGCAUACUUGAAACUACAGCCCUACAGGUAGAACAGUGUAUCUCUACAAAGUUCUCUCAAGCUUGCAGCUAAAUAUUAUAGUCCAUUCCAAGUAAUUGAAAAGAUAGGAUCAGUAGCUUAUAAGCUACAAUUUCCAUCAGUCUGCCUCAUUCAUCAAGUUUUUCAAGUCUCUAUUCUUAAGAAGAAGAUUGAGGAGCAAGUGGUGCCUUUAACCAAAUCACCAGUGCUACCAAUAAAAAAGAAAGGUGUGUGAUCUGAAAAGGUUCUCAACGAAAGAACCAUCCUAAGGAAUGAUGGACACAUUCCUGAAUUGCUUAUUAAAGGUGCAAUUUACCUGCUGUUGACUCUGUACUGGGAGGACUUAACCUCCAUCCAGUCACAAUUACCCAAAAUUUUUUCAUUCUUGGGGACAAUAAUGUGCUCAAUGGGGGAGGAGUUGUUAAGUAUCACAUAAGAAAGAGGGCAAAUAUGUAAAUGGUCAUGAGGCAGAUAAGUAAAUGGUUCUAUCAUGAAUUUGUUAUUUCUUUUUACGUUUUCUAUGCACUGCUAGCUGUGAAUACAAAGUUUGUUAGAUCUAACAAACUCUGAAUCUACAAUAUAUAAAGCCACAUGUAAUCAGAAAGAAUUUAUUGAAUCUACAAUAGAAAAAUCUCGAUUCCUCUCUCACCUCUUAUUCUACUUUCUCUAAAUCCCUCUGGUACUCUACCUCUCAUCACCACUCUUUCCUUCUCCUCCUCAAUUUUUUGGACUGAAGGACAGUCCUAACAUCUAAAUAGCAAUACUAUUAAACAACAUGAUAGAUCCAGAUUGCGAAAAUGUUACAGCCAUUCACAUAAAGAAUACAGUGCAAAUCUGUAUAAACUAGGAUGGCAUUGAUUGUAUAAACUAGGAUGGCAUUGAUUGGCUUAUUUCCUUGAAAAAAAUAGCUCAUUAGAAUCAUGCAAUUAAUUUUGAAAAUUGCUUUGUCUUAAUUAGUAUAUGUAAGAAUUCAGGAGAGUUCUAUUUUUUUUUUUUUUCUAAA